GUCUUUGUAGCACAAUCGGCCAGUGUGUCCAGCUGCAAACUGAUAAGUUGGUGGUUCAAGCCCACCCAGAGAUG